UAGGGAAUCUUCGGCAAUGGACGAAAGUCUGACCGAGCAACGCCGCGUGAGUGAAGAAGGUUUUCGGAUCGUAAAACUCUGUUGUUAGAGAAGAACAAGGACGUUAGUAACUGAACGUCCCCUGACGGUAUCUAACCAGAAAGCCACGGCUAACUACGUGCCAGCAGCCGCGGUAAUACGUAGGUGGCAAGCGUUGUCCGGAUUUAUUGGGCGUAAAGCGAGCGCAGGCGGUUUCUUAAGUCUGAAGUGAAAGCCCCCGGCUCAACCGGGGAGGGUCGUUGGAAACUGGGAGAAUUGAGUGAAGAAGGGGAGGGUGGAAUUCCAUGUGUAGCGGUGAAAUGCGUAGAUAUAUGGAAGAACACCAGUGGCGAAGGCGGCUGACUGGUCUGUAACUGACACUGAGGCUCGAAAGCGUGGGGAGCAAACAGG
rnacentral:rRNA from 1 species